GUCAGACAGCGCGGCACCGCGGCCCGGUCUCCUUCACACAGCGGGGACGGUCCCACCGAGACACACCUCGGACCGAACGGGACACAGCACAGGACCGAACAGGACCCGGGACUCAGUCCACCGAGGGCGGCGCGUGCCUCCCGCUGCUGUUCAUCAGAAAGAGUCACACUGGUGAGUCCAGUUCCAGCACCCAUGGCUUUCACUGCAGCUCUAAAUAUUGGUGCUGCAGCAGCGAGCGUGGGCCAAGCCAUCGGUCAGGGUAGUCCGACACAUCGGCAGUGCCUCAUGUACAUAACGAAUGGAUGCAGCAGCUACUCGCUUUCCAACCCCAGGUGGUACAUCUACAGUGGCAGUUGUGCAUCACCCUUACCACCCAUGAUUCCCUCUAAUGCAUCGGGCAGCGCUCUGUUCAUCAAGACUCCUCACACCGCCUGUGGAUCCGUCGGCGUCAUCACCUAUGACCUCUUGCAUGACGACAGCAACCAAACGAUUGAAAAAAUUUCCAUAAUGUUCUCAAAUCCCUACGACUUUAAUGUGUAUUCAAACUGGUACGCAGUGGGAAUCUUUGAUGAGAGCAAACAGUGUGAUUACGAUCUGUAUAAUGAGAUGUAUUAUGAGGCAAGUGAAUCCUUUGUCAGAGGUCAAGCGGAUGGCAACGUGCUGGUUUACAAAGGCAAACGAGUUACCAUACAGGCAACAAUGUCAGACGCCUACCAGCCUGUGAUGAAGGUGACAGUGAAUGAGACGGACUGAAAUGAGUGAUGAGAGACAUCUUUCAAUGUCUGGAUGGUAGAAGAUUGUGGAAGAUAAUCAAAAAGAAUCAAUAAUGUUUGAAGCUGAGAUCUUUAAAGUGUGGUGGGAUGAGACUGAACCAACCUCCCAACAGCUACUAUACUAUAAGUUUUUCUAUGUUGCCUGAAACAGUGUUGUUUUGUUUUUUCCAUAAUUAGUUGUUUUGAUUUGACAGCACACAAAGGAACUUCUUCAUUUGUCAAGAUUUCACCCUGAACAUGUGAAGUUUUCAGCCACGUGCAGCAAAGCCUCACAGCAAGGCGUCAAUGACUCUGCUCUGAAACCAGACCCUCAAGGGUCAGAGACUGUGAGGUCAGUCACCUAAACUGAUUGGAUAAUCCUCCACAGAGACCGCCCUCCUCUCAUCCGCCAUUUUAGGAUUUGUAGUGCAUGUCUCAUUCCUCUCUAUCUCUCUCUAUCUCACACACACAGACACACCACACAUAUAAUUAGCUAGAAUCUGUGUGUUUUGUGUUUCUUUACCUGGUGAAUAAAUAUAAUUUUUGGACUGUCA